GAUCUGAUCUCAAAUCAGGUAGGACUACCCGCUGAACUUAAGCAUAUCAAUAAGCGGAGG
rnacentral:rRNA from 1 species